ensembl:lncRNA
GGGGUAUGUUUGUUUGUUAAUGUCUUUGUGAACAUUUAAAUAGUCUUUCCAUUUGUAACAUCCCCUAAAUAAGGCAACCAGAGGAAGCCUGCCUUGCAUUAGCACACCUGCUGGGCUUAAACAGGAACAGUAUUUCCCCAAAUGGGACACCUCAUUUGCCAAACAGGCUCGAACUUAAAAUUGCCUGCGUCUUUGGAUUGCUACACUCGGUUUUCAUCAACUUGCAUGUAACUCGAUUUUCUACUCUCUCUCUCUCUUCAUUCCUGGGUUGGACAGGAAAGGAAAAAGCAAAGAAACCGAAAUGGGAAGAAAUAUGCAGGUAAGGACAGACACUUAUACCAUAUUGAAAAAAAAGUUUGCCCUUACAAAUGACAUUAGUGAAUUCUAAGAAAGCAAGAUUUCUCCACAAAAAAAGGUGGGAAAAAAGAAUCAACAUGGGACCAAUAUAAGAGAUCUUGAUGAAGAGAAAUAGAAGAGGGCAACAUUGAGACUCUCCUUGUUUGAGGAUGUGGAUAUUUGCUACGAACAUGGAACGGCUGGCAAGGGGAAAUCUGUGCUCCUCCUUCCAUCUCUAUUGAUACCAGUUUCCCCUGGAGCUUUUCUUGUCUUUCCCUUUCUCUGGACCAGGGCCUAACUCUGGUUCUUGUCAUAUCUCACUCAUGCCGUGGGGCUCUCGGGUUCAGUAGGCAGAGAGCUGCGUGACCCGGGGCCAUAUGAGUGUCUCUCACUGGAGAUGCUACAUGCCAUUCAAUUCCUCUAAGCCCUGACCAGCUCAGACCCCGAUGAUUGUGUUUCCUUCCUGUAUCCUGGGUAAAAUAUGGCAGGCUUUACCAUGGGAGAUGUGUACACAAAACAUAUUUUCAAGAUGAAUGGAAUCCAACAUCAUUCUUCCUCCUUGAUCCAUUUCUCUUUCUCUUCUCUCUGUUUUUACCUGAUACUUUCUUUGACCAUUUCUAUCAAUUUUUAACAUUCUUAAAUGCCCACUGAAAUGAUCACAACAUCCCCUGGGGAAAAAACACACCACAGCCCUAUUUUUUUUUUUUUUUUUUUGAAGCUUUGUUAAAAAAAAAAAAUCUCAUUUUUAGCAGUGACAGUCAGGACUCUGUAAUC